rnacentral:rRNA from 1 species
CCUACGGGUGGCUGCAGUGGGGAAUAUUGCACAAUGGGGGAAACCCUGAUGCAGCGACGCCGCGUGAGUGAAGAAGUAUUUCGGUAUGUAAAGCUCUAUCAGCAGGGAAGAAAUACUGACCUUACGGUCAGCCGACGGUACCUGACUAAGAAGCCCCGGCUAACUACGUGCCAGCAGCCGCGGUAAUACGUAGGGGGCAAGCGUUAUCCGGAUUUACUGGGUGUAAAGGGAGCGUAGACGGCAGCGCAAGUCUGAAGUGAAAUCCCAUGGCUUAACCAUGGAACUGCUUUGGAAACUGUGCAGCUGGAGUGCAGGAGAGGUAAGCGGAAUUCCUAGUGUAGCGGUGAAAUGCGUAGAUAUUAGGAGGAAUACCGUUAGCGAAGGCGGCAAUCUGGCUGGAAACUGACGCUGAGGUGCGAAAGCGUGGGUAGCAAACAGGAUUAGAUACCCGUGUAGUC